CAGUCAAGCUGCUGUGGCCUGCACUGUCAGUCAAACUUCUGAGAUUUCACUGGGUUAGUGUGGUUAGUGUGUGCCACCACUGUAGGGACUUGAUUUCGGAUAAUCUAUUUGGUCUCAGCUAGGUCACAUGAACCAAGCCUAGCUCACUCCACCAAUCCCGUUCGGGAAGGGAGCAACUGACUGAAGUCGCUGCUGCCCCUUGUACUUGCCAGUCCUGCCCAGUCCCAGAAUGUUGUCCGCUGGAGCCCCCCCUAUUUAUGGAAUGGCUCCACUCCUGUCACUCACCGCAAGUUGAUGUAGGCACCCUGCCAACUCAGCUCUCCCCUUGGCUCGCCGGCCCCCAAAUUCAAUGUCAAAGCAGUGGGACCUCAGACAGCUCAGCAAGUCGCGGUGGGACCUUGGCAGGGCUGUUGCCUCUGUGGGAUUAUCCCACAAUAAUCCACUGACAUGAAGAUCCAGCAGUUUGCCAGUGUAAAGAUUAAACUCUGCCUUCUUAAAAAGAAAAAAAAAGCCGCCAUGAACUGCAGCCCAGCCAUGCCCAUCUGCCUUGGAGCCAACUGAGUGUGGACUGAAACCUCCAAAAACUUUCCAGGGAGCCGAAGGAUCUGUGCUGACAGGCUGAAGGUGAAGACUGCACUGGAGCCUGCAGAUGGACAUCCAAAGGCAGUGGUGAUGCCUGGAGUGAAGAAACAGAAUACUUUCUUCUGUCCUCCCUUUUCCUUCCAUCCAGGCCACAAGCCUACUGGUUGGUACUCCCACAAUUAGGAGGGAGUGUUACAGAUUGAAUGCUGUGUCUCACCAAAACUCCUCGGUUGAAACCCUGGGACUGGAGGAACAGUCAUAGUAGAGCACUUGCCUAGCAUGCUUGAGAUUCUUGUUCAAGUUCAAUCUCUAGAACUGCAAAUAGACAGGAGGGAAAGAAGGACAGAAAGAAAAAGAAGGGAAGAAAAAGGAAGGGAAAGAAAUAGGAGGAGGGGAAGGGAAGAGGGAG